UACGAAGGGGGCUAGCGUUGUUCGGAAUUACUGGGCGUAAAGGGCGCGUAGGCGGCGUGUCAAGUCAGGCGUGAAAGCCCCGGGCUCAACCUGGGAACCGCGCUUGAGACUGGCAUGCUCGAGUUCGGGAGAGGAUGAUGGAAUUCCCAGUGUAGAGGUGAAAUUCGUAGAUAUUGGGAAGAACACCGAUGGCGAAGGCAGCCAUCUGGACCGACACUGACGCUGAGGCGCGAAAGCGUGGGGAGCAAACAGG
rnacentral:rRNA from 1 species